CACAGCUGGAUGAGGCCUUAGUGACCAUGUGGUCCUACAACCACUUCCCUUUUACAGUUUUAAGGAGAGAGAGAGAGAGAGAGAGAGAGAGAGAGAGAAAGUAACUGAUAUCAGGCCACACAGUAACCCAGGUGUGGAGCCAUGAUGAGAACCCCACCGCUUUCCCAUUGGGACAGGACACACGCUGUCUCCCUGCAUUGGCUCCUUGAUCCCUAGCCCGCUUCUGUCUUUGCCCUUAGACUCCAUCUUGGUGUCUACCUUGAUCUUCCAGUGUGAGCCUUUUCUAACCACCUGUGCUCCAAAGACUCAGGCUCCACCCAGUCAUCAUCCAGCAGAAUAAGUGCUGCAGUGGGCAGGCUUACAAUUCCUCCUUCCCUGGGUUCCAUCUGUGAUGCACUCUUCAGACAGCAUCAUCAUAAUGCUCGAUUCAACCAGGAAACAAUUGGAAAACUUCAAACAGCAUAUGUAAUAGGCAAGUACAAGAGAGAAAACUAUGAAAGCAAAGAUUCCAUCAGCUUCCCAGAGAAGGGAUUUCUUAACACGUCACACAGGAGCCCUUCCAUCCAGGUAUCCAUACGUAACUAGAAGGGUUUUUAGCUCUGGAUUUUGUGAAGAAAACACAGGUAUUUGCUGAGAAUGAAGAGGUCUACACUGCUGCGAUGAAAAAGCUCUGUCUUUAUUGGGCAUAAUUAUUUAUAACAAACCAUCCAUACAGUAGAUUAUGAUACCAGAUGAUAAAAUAAGCAAUAACUCAAAAGUAUAAGAAUAACCUUUCACCAUUGUGGUUAAGGAAACAUCUUGGGUCUGGUCAGGAUUCUUCCCCAGGUGUGAGGGGCUGCUCUGGGGACACACUGCCUUGGCCGCAGUUCACUUCCACUCCUUGCCUACCAAUAAUGGAAAACUCCGGGAUUUGCCUCUUAUCUUCACUGGUUCUUUCUAAUGACCUUUAUGGAUACACUUACUUCUCUCCAAAAUGCUAAGAAUGUACAGUCCUUGCUUCUCACUGCCCUUCUUGUUCAUGGGGUGACCAGGCAGUCCUGCCGCACUUGAUUUGGCUGACUUUAAGUGUUCUGCAUCUGGGGCCUUUCUGAUGUCUGCCAUGUUAUUCCAUGGGUAGGUUCUGUGAUAUGUUCUCCACUGUGCGCUGGGAAAGGCAUGAUAUACUACAUCUGGCAGAAAAGUCACUUCCUACCUUGAAGCCCGUAAUGAAUUGGAAUCCCCCCGUGAGGCAGAAGCUAGGACACCAUGGCGCUUCUUGUGUAGCAGCACAGUUCAGAACACUACCAUUCAAAGCCAUUCCAUGUCAGGCACAUAAUG